rnacentral:rRNA from 1 species
AUGGCUUCACCGUUCACCAGCGCCGCGGUGAUACUCCUCCUGCUCAUGGUCGGUGCAGCAGCCGGCGGCGACGCGGAUGCUGGCGAUGGGCGGGCCAACGUCAACUCCCUCGUCACCUGCGUGAUGGGGUGUGCGACGGCGGCCGUUGGGUGCACCAGCGGGUGCUCCACGAAGGCCGCUGGACAGCUGCCGGACUGCGCCGUUGCGUGCGCGGAAGCCCAGCUACAUUGCGCCAUCACGCGUAAUCGCAUGAUGGGUUCCCUGACGGCUUCCGCUUCCUCCUCUGCUGCCCUAACCACUCUUUCCCUGCCCGCCGCCUUCAACGGGCCGCCGGCCUCCGCCGUCCCUCCUCCUUCUGCUAGUCUCAUCACCGCAAAGCUCACCACUUCCAACUUCCUCCUAUGGCGAGCUCAGGUUCUUCCUCCUCUGCGCAUCGCCGGAGCUACGGGCUACGUCGACGGCACCCUCCCAGCCCCUGCAAAGCUCCUGGACCCUGAUGACAAGGGGGUGCGCGCUUCAAACCCGGAGUAUGCCAACUGGUACCGCCAGGACCAGAUCGUCCUCAGCUAUCUCCUUGCCUCUCUCUCCAAUGAAGUCCUGCAGCAGGGCAAUCUCUCCAUGGCGGACUACUUCGCCAAGAUCCGCGCCAACGCCGACCAACUUGCUGCCGUCGGCCGCGCCAUGCGUGAUGAGGACAUCAUCACCGCCGUCAUCACCGGCCUCAACAGCGACUACGAGCCGCUCAUCACUGCUGCCACAACCCGUCUUGAUGGCAUGUAUCUUGGGGAGUUCUACUCCCACGCCAUCGCCUUCGAACGCCGACGCGAGCACAACGCCGCCCGUCUCAUCCUGGCGGCUCCUCCGUCAACUACGUCGCCCGGGACACGAACGCCAACAACAACAAUAACCCUGCUAACCGGGGCAAGGGCAACUACCACGGCAAGGGGCACGGCAACUCUGGUGAUCGCGGCGGCUACAACAACUCUCGUGGUGGUGACCGCGGGAACCGUGGAGGUGGCGGUGCGCGCCAGCAAGGCGACUUUGGCGGCAACCGUGGUGGUGAUCGCGGCGACUACGGCGACCGCGGCGACAACCGCGUCUAGUGUCAGCUCUGUCGCGGCCCUGGUCAUUACGCCGGGGAGUGCGGCCAGCACUACAACCAUGCCUUCCAGCCCCAACACUCCAAGAUGGCUGGUCUUGCUGUUGCCUCUCCUCCAUCCAUCUUAG